rnacentral:tRNA from 1 species
GGAGAUAUAGCUCAAUGGUAUAGUGCCUGCCUGGCAAGUAUAAGGUCCUGAGUUCAAUUCCCAGUACCA